GGGAGCAAGCAGGGGAAACACAAACCAAAUCGGGUAGCCUGGGAUGUGAUAACAAAGCCAAAACAUCUAGGCGGCCUCGGUUUCAGGGAUUUGGAGAUUUUCAAUCUUGCCCUACUGUCGAAACAGGUGUGGAGGAUGCUUCAAAACCCCACAUCUUUGAGCGCCCGCAUCCUCAAGGGGGUCUACUUCCCUGAUGUUUCUCUGUUUGAAGCAAGUCUUGGUAAUCAUCCAUCACAAAUUUGGCGGGCUACCUUGGAUGGACGAGAUAUCAUGGUGCAGGUACUAGUGAGGAGAAUUGGAAACGGUGAAACCACGGACAUCUGGCAGGACAACUGGCUACCUCGCACACUUAUGAAGAGUCCGUUAACAUCUCUGGUUCAACAUCCACCUCACAAAGUGUCAGAACUCAUAAAUAGCGCCACUUGCUCUUGGAAUGAACAGUUGGUGCGGGCAACCUUCUUCCAAUCGAUGCAGAGACGAUUUUGUAGAUUCCUCUCUGCACUAGGCAGAUUGAGGACUUUUGGGCGUGGAGCAAGGACAGACGGGGCAUUUUUCGGUUAG
rnacentral:rRNA from 1 species